UUUCUGAAUUAAAAAUUAACCUGAUUUGUGUGGGAGAUCUUAGCAUGCCUGGUUUGCAAUAGUUUGGAGCUGUGCCUGAGCCAGUUAGAUCUGAAAGAAGAGAAACCCACAGCUAACCCCAGCAGUGGCCCAAUCCCGAUGUGCUGAGGAGUGCUGCUUCAACCCGGUGGGAGGCAGGUAGACCUUGGUGUGGCUGCAAAUGUGCUUUUCUUCUGAAGCAAAUUUUGGAUCAUUUCAAGUGCAUCCACACCAGGCGUCAUAGGAAAAAACGAUACUCAAUAUUUACUCCAUUAAUAGGAAUAUUAGUCAGAAGUGUUGGAUUAUUCAUGAUGAAGAAGAGCAUAAUUCUGACUAACAUCAGUGGUCACCGUUAUCCAUCGUUUGUCUUGGAACACUUGGGGUCAUUCUGGUCGCCUUGAGAUCCCGCUUGCAGUGGCUUCUUGCUGGUGAGAACAGGAAACAUAUUUUCCUUCUGCGGCUGUGACGUUUACUGCAUAAUGAAGCCACGGUGCGGGACUUGAGCUGCAAAUCACUCGAUAACUGCCCAGUUACGUGGCUGCAGGAGAGGAUCUGUGCACACACGGGAAAUGGAUUUUCUGGAGGGCGGGCUGGGAGCAGCAUCCCUGCUCCAAUGUAGAGCUGUUGGGUGGAGCAUGUGGCAAUGUUGUGGCUUUGUUUUGGUUUUGGUGAUUUUUUUUAAUACAUUUUUUUUUCAUUGGAGGGUGCCACCCACUCACUUUGAAUCUUUAUACAUAGACUAGAUGAAAUCAUACUCGGUUUUGUUGAUUUAAAUUAAGCCUGUGUAUUGGAACGUGAUGUGUAUGUACUCUGUGCUGCCCUGUGGCUGUUCUACAUGGUGCUUCUGCAAGCUUUCAAGACACAAACAGAUGUACGUGCUUUAUAGUUACGCUAUGAUGCAGUGUGAUUGCUGUGUUUCACUUCUCAGCAAGGGGAAAAAUCCCUCGUUAUUCUCAGGAACUUGUUUUU